rnacentral:rRNA from 1 species
UCAAACUUGGUCAUUUAGAGGAAGUAAAAGUCGUAACAAGGUUUCCGUAGGUGAACCUGCGGAAGGAUCAUUAAAAGUAUAUAGUUAUACAUUCUGUGUAUCGACUAAAUAUACCCAUUCUGAGUACCUUGCCUGUUGCUUCCAUGGAGCCUGACACAUGUCACUCUGGGGAUUUACAUCCCGAGGGAGCCUCCGUGGAAGGUAAUCAAUUAACUCUUGAAUCCAAUGUCAUCUGUCUGAUAAUGUUUAUAACAAAUGUUAAAACUUUCAACAACGGAUCUCUUGGUUCUCGCAUCGAUGAAGAACGCAGCGAAAUGCGAUAAGUAGUGUGAAUUGCAGAAUUCAGUGAAUCAUCGAAUCUUUGAACGCACAUUGCGCCUCCUGGUAUUCCGGGAGGCAUGCCUGUUCGAGCGUCAUUAAAUACCACUCAAGCUCUUCUGCUUGGUCUUGGAAGAAGAGAAUGCUUGCAUCCUCUCUUCUGAAAUCGAACGGCGGACUGCCUCAUGUGCCUCGCGUAGUAAGUUCAUCUUUUCGCUUGGAGUGUGAGAUAGUCUCGCCAUCAACCCCCAUACUUCUAAGGUUGACCUCGGAUCAGGUAGGGAUACCCGCUGAACUUAAGCAUAUCAAUAAG